UAAAAAAAAACUGGCAAUAUCGGGAAAUUCAACUUCAUCAUCACCUUCAUCGCCGUCAUGUUUAUCGGAGUUAGAGAACACUCAAAGCUUAAACGCGAAAGAUUGGCUUAAAUACAAUAUACAGCCAUUAGAAUUGGUAUUCAUGAAAUGGAAAGACUGCUUCAAUAUUAGGAGGUCAGACAUUUUAGAGAAUACCGCAGACAUUUUUGAAGACUGGCCACUUUUCACCCAAUCUUUUGGACUUCAUUUGAUUGAUUUGGACUUCAUUUCUCUUUUUAAUGAAGA